AUAUCUCUCUGUACGGGAAGGAUGAGAAGCUUCGACUAAGGUUCGAUUCGAGCGCAGCGAGAAAGCGUUGCCGCAGGCAACGACCCG
rnacentral:sRNA from 5 species